GAAAAAUCGUUUAACUUUUCUCUUCCUUCGGAUAAACUACAAAUCUACCUAUAAAUUCAACCUUGUUUUUACUCUUUUUAUACAACUCUGCAUGCAAAAGCUCAUUUUCCAUAAUGGACUUCCAGUAAUGAACAGCUGACAUUCAACCACCAAUAAAACUGAGCAAACAUAAACAAAAAACAUCUAUGUGAAAAUAAUAAAAUAAACAAUCAAAAAAAUUAAAUUCAACAAAACAAAAAGAACUCCUACCACUUGGCCAUCGUUACCAGGACCGGACCCUACAAAACCACAAAGAAAAGAAACAAUGAUGCCUAAAAAAAGAGAAAAAAAACUAACAAACACAAAAAAAAAACUACAAACAACAAACUUAAAGAACUAAACAAAAAUUCAUACAGAAAACAAAUCAACGUUUUAAAAACAACGAGGCCCACAUACAAAACGAAAAUACACCCGCAACAAAACUCCGAUGCCGCUGAUGGUAUUCAGAGGGAGCGGUGUGCGGCUAAAUUUCAGCGUGACCAACGUGGGGAACUCCCACACCCUGAGAUUCUAUCAGCCGGGCAUUAACACUUAACUAUUUCCAAUGGUGGCAAUUUGGGUAUCACAAUCCCUACUGAUGUCCCAAUGAAUCAACUAAUAUCAGUCUAAAAUUUGAUUUGGCAUCAUGUGGAAUCAUAUUAACAAAACUGAGGGACUGCACAACAUCAUAAGAACAACCAAAACUUUAUUUGCCGCAUAAUUCUGUUUGGGCGCCAUAUUCUGUUACGAACCUUCUGUUGGCCACUGGAUUCCACCACCCUACUAGCUCACGCGGCAUCACCUCGGGGUGUGAUUCUCAACCCUUUUGAUGACCAAGGUCCGCUACAAAAUAACUUACAAUUGAACAGAAAAUCAAAUACGUAUUCAACAUACACAGAGCGAAACACACACAUAGGGAGAAAGGUGAUAUUCUCACGAUUACAUCGGGUCAUUAACUUAUUUCUUAUGGCCUUGAACUCAUUACAAGCAAUUUCGCAGAGAAAAAUCGUUUAACUUUUCUCUUCCUUCGGAUAAACUACAAAUCUACCUAUAAAUUCAACCUUGUUUUUACUCUUUUUAUACAACUCUGCAUGCAAAAGCUCAUUUUCCAUAAUGGACUUCCAGUAAUGAACAGCUGACAUUCAACCACCAAUAAAACUGAGCAAACAUAAACAAAAAACAUCUAUGUGAAAAUAAUAAAAUAAACAAUCAAAAAAAUUAAAUUCAACAAAACAAAAAGAACUCCUACCACUGGGCCAUCGUUACCAGGACCGGACCCUACAAAACCACAAAGAAAAGAAACAAUGCUGCCUAAAAAAAA